rnacentral:rRNA from 1 species
GACGAACGCUGGCGGCGUGCUUAACACAUGCGAGUCGAACGGUGAAGCGCCUUCCUUUUUGGUGGGUGUGGAUGAGUGGCGAACGGGUGAGUAACACGUGAGUAACCUGCCCCCUUCUUCUGGAUAACCGCAUGAAAGUGUGGCUAAUACGGGAUAUUCUGGGUCUGUCGCAUGAUGGGUCUGGGAAAGAUAUUGUUUCGGUGGGGGAUGGGCUCGCGGCCUAUCAGCUUGUUGGUGGGGUGAUGGCCUACCAAGGCGGUGAUGGGUAGCCGGCCUGAGAGGGUGGACGGUCACACUGGGACUGAGACACGGCCCAGACUCCUACGGGAGGCAGCAGUGGGGAAUAUUGCACAAUGGGCGCAAGCCUGAUGCAGCGACGCCGCGUGAGGGAUGGAGGCCUUCGGGUUGUGAACCUCUUUCGCCAGUGAAGCAGGCCUGCCUCGUUUGUGGGUGGGUUGACGGUAGCUGGAUAAGAAGCGCCGGCUAACUACGUG